AACGGCCGUACCAUGCUGAAUAUACCGGUUCUCGUUAGAUCACCGAAGUCAAGCAUCAUUGGGCGCGGUCAGUACUUGGGUGGGUGACCACCUGGGAACAUUGCGUGCCGUU
rnacentral:rRNA from 1 species